UAUCAUUAUGCAGUCCUUUCACUUGAUCGCUCUAGAUACUUUCGGAGAUUGAUUAUGUAUAUAAAAUAGUUGCUUGCAUCUGGAAUCCUUGUGUGGGUGGUAUUAAUUUAUGUGGAUGCCUCGUGGGUAAGCCUCUAUGCCUCUCUCAAAGGCAUGGAGAUCGCCCUGUGAAAUGGGACCCUUCCACCUUCUCCUUCGAGCAGUGUCUCAUGAUAUUUCUCGUUUUGUGGGGUGGUGGAAUGCGGGCCUCAAUAUAUUGUUGUAAGUGCGGCUCUUUGAAAUUGGUUGCUGGUGUUAUGCCAUGCCUCCAUGCUCGAGUAGAUUUAUCCAAGUGAUAGUGCCCUUCACCUUGGUGCGACUCUGGUUCUUUCUCCUCUUGCCAUAUGAAAUGUAUGGUUGUGGGGGG
rnacentral:misc_RNA from 1 species